UACGUAGGGUGCGAGCGUUGUCCGGAAUUAUUGGGCGUAAAGAGCUCGUAGGCGGUGUGUCACGUCGGCCGUGAAAACCUGGGGCUUAACUCUGGGCGUGCGGUCGAUACGGGCAUCACUAGAGUUCGGCAGGGGAGACUGGAAUUCCUGGUGUAGCGGUGAAAUGCGCAGAUAUCAGGAGGAACACCGGUGGCGGAAGGCGGGUCUCUGGGCCGAUACUGACGC
rnacentral:rRNA from 1 species